CAGUACCGUGAGGGAAAGGUGAAAAGCACCCCGACAAGGGGAGUGAAAUAGAACCUGAAACCGGAUGCCUACAAACAGUCGGAGCCCGCAAGGGUGACGGCGUACCUUUUGUAUAAUGGGUCAUCUACUUGGUCUCACGAGCAAGCUUAAGCCGUUAGGUGGAGGCGCAGCGAAAGCGAGUCUGAACAGGGCGUUCAGUUCGUCGGAUUAGACCCGAAACCGG
rnacentral:rRNA from 1 species